GCACUCUUGGUUUAGUGGUAAAAUCAGCGCUUCCCAUGCUGUACAGCACAGUUUGCGCUGGCCCCGGGUUCGAUUCCCGGAGGGUGCA